AACGGGUUAGUAACACGUAGGAAUCUACCUUGGAGUCUGGAAUAACUCGGAGAAAUCCGAGCUAAUACCAGAUAGUCCCCGGUUUACCGGGGUAAAGAUUUAUUGCUCCGAGAGGUGCCUGCGUCCUAUCAGCUUGUUGGUGAGGUAAUGGCUCACCAAGGCUAUGACGGGUAGGGGGAGUGAGAGCUUGAUCCCCAACAACGGUACUGCGACAUGGACCGUACACC
rnacentral:rRNA from 1 species